CAUUUAUUAGUUGCAAGAAAUCAGUAAUUAAUAACGUACCACCACCAGUACCAACUGCUACUACUCAGGCCAAUAAUAUGAUGUAUGAUAGGAAUGUGAGCUAUGAGCUACACACAGUAACAAAUGAGACUGAGGAGUAUGAUUAUAUUUGAUUCAUUACUCAAGUUAAUAUUUACAGCUGCCAAUCGGAUAUUAUCAGUUAAUGGCUACUUAAUUUGAUCUUUUACAAUGGACCUUCCUUUGUUUGCUUUUACUGUCAAAUAAUGUACUUCAUUCA